CAGAAAGAGGAACAACAUCUUUAUUAUGGGGUGCAGUUGGGGAGGCAUCAGUUUGCAGCUGCCGAGCACAUGAAGGUGAGUGUUCUCUCUGUAUAAUGUGCAUGGCUAAUAGAAAUCAACAGGUGUUAGACAUGUGCUUAUUCAGGUGGGGCACGGGUGGUGCUGUGGUCUAAACCACUGAGCCUCUUGAGCUUGCCGAUCAGAAGGUCGGCGGUUUGAAUCCCCGCGACUGAGUGAGCUCCUAUUGCUCUGUCCCUGCUCCUGCCAACCUAGCAGUUCAAAAGCAUACCAGUGCAAGAGAUAAAUAGGUACCGCUGUGGCGGGAAGGUAAAUGGUGUUUCUGUGUGCUCUGGUUUCCGUCACAGUGUUCUGUUGAGCCAGAAGCGGUUUAGUCAUGCUGGCCACAUGACCUGGAAAGCUGCCUGUGGACAAAUACCAGCUCCCUCGGCCUGAAGCAAGAUGAGCACCACACCCCAUAGUCGCCUUUGACUGGACUCAACCAUCAAGGGGUCCUUUACCUUUUACCUUUACCUUAUUCAGGUAUAUACUUCUGUGUAAUUUAUUUAUUUAGUUCCCUCUUUUUCUCCAAACAAUUCAAGGUAGUUGUACACACUCCCCCCCCUCCUUUUUUUCCUUGCAACAACUCUGUGAGGUAGGUUAGUGAGGCAGUGACUAUGAUCACCCAGUGAGCUUCAUGGCCGAGUGGGGAUUAGAACCCUAGUCCAGCACUCGUAACCACUGCACCACAUUGAUUCUCUGUUACUGAAGCCACAUAUACAGUACAAUGCAAUGCAAUGCAAUGCAACUAAAAUAAUUAAUAUUAAUUAUAUUACUAAAAUCACUUGAGCCACUUCCUAAAAUGACCCACAACCAACUAUUUUAAAAGGAUGCGUCUCCUCCUAAUAGAAGUUUAUCCAGACCAUCUAACAAAGAUACAUAUUCAGGAAUAAAAUCCUGUUCCACAGGUCUGUUCCAAGCCACCUCUGUGAUGCUUUUAUCUCCUCUGACAAUAUUACUGUCGGGGCAACUGUAAAAACAUAAAAUAAAAUCUGAAUUUAAAAAUAAUAGCAUACUACUACCUGACCUAGUGACAGUAGCUAUAGAAUUAAGAAUCAAUUCAUCUGCACUUCCAGAAAUGUCCUAUAUUACAUCACUUGCCAGCAAUGUCUUCAUUUCAGCAUCACUGUCACUAAGUCAAAGAUGCUUUGCCCAUCAUAUUUUUCUUCCACAGAACCAUGUGUGUGAAAGACACAUUAUGCAAGAUGCAAUGGGGCUGUUCUUUUUUGGCCAUGAGUACACUGACUGGGAAGUCACGCAGGAAUCUCUGCAUAGGAAAUUGUUACAACUCUUUGAUAACGGAUGUGAAGUGCAUUAUAGACACUUUUAAAUAAAAACAACAGGUAGAAACUGAGGUAUCUGCAGUCACAAUAUAGGAAGCUAUCAUAUGAAAUCAAGGUAGAAGCUGUAUUUCUGAGCAACCUUUCUUCCCUGAAAAAUAGGUACGUGUGUUACCCUACCGAAAUGACUUUGGGUUGCAGUGAAAAUUAGAGGUCUAAAUUACUUAGAAGCCACCUGGGCAUUAAGCAGUGGAUUCCAGGUCCCACCUUGUCCUUAUUGCUUAGAGUCAUUUGAGAAAGCUGCAGCCAACAUGGCACCCAUUGGUCCUCCCUAAUGCCCAUAAACAGAAUAUACCUCUUAAGGCCUUAUUCAUGGAUAGCUCAGUUGGUUAGAGCGUGGUGCUGUUAAUGCCAAGGUUGCAGGCUCGAUCCCCAUAUGGGGCAGCUGCAUAUUCCUGCAUUGCAGGGGGUUGGACUAGAUGAUCCUCAAGAUCCCUUCCAGCUUAAGAAUUCUAUGAUUCUAUGUAAAAAAAUGCAUCAAAAUUGCACAUAGCUUCUAAAUGUCAAGGUAAAUCUGAAUUUUUUAUUUGAUUUGAUUUUUUAAAAAACCAAUCACAACAUUUAAUACACUCUUUUGACAGAGGUGAAAGAUGUGUUCCUUAUUUGACAGCUUGUUGUUGUUGUUAAUUUAUUAUUUAUACCCCGCCCAUCUGUCUGAGUUUCCCCAGGUUAUGCUGUUGAAGUUGGGAGCCUCGUCUAGUUAUUGUCUCCAAACUGAGUUAUAUGCCACACGUUUACAUAACUGUCCCUCCACAACCCCCGUCCCUUUUCUCUUUCAGCUUCAGCUGUUCAGCAGCUCUGUCUCAUAUAAAAGGACCACCUUCCUAAUCUAGUUUUAUGGUCUGAUGACCAGGAUGGUGCUUGGUUUGCUUUCAAGGCAGGAAUAUGAGAAAGAAGAUCCCUAUUGACAAUUCAGACUAAUAGGAUUGCUGUAUGUUAUUUCCCUACUAGUUUGGUUUCCCUGCCAAUAUCCUCAUCUGAAAGUCUGGAGAAAAUCCCAGUCAGAGGGAUGCAGAGCUCCACAAUCCUCAGCAGCUUUGCGGAAAGCCAACAGCUUGGAAUACUUCUGCCCAAAGUAGAUUUUGUUUAAGAAACCAAAACAAAUCUAUGCCACCGUACAGUGCUUUCCUAGGAUCAGUUGUUCCAAUUGCCUCCUGCUGUGGGUUACAAGUAUGAAAGAUCUUCUGGGAAAGCAGUGAUCAAGGCAUCUUAUCCCACUGCCAGGAACAGGAUUUUUCAGGAGGCCUUCUUAAUCCAUCAGAAUCAAGAUGAAGAGGUGGAGGGAGGGUUUUGAAGAGAACAGCCUUAUCUUAAAUUUUGAGAAGCAAGAUAAGGGAGAACUUAAAAUGCAACAUUUUGGUCUCAUUCCCCUCCUGGAGAUGAGGAAAGGGAUGCAAGUUGAAGUCAUUUUUUCCAAUUCUGAUAUCCCCAUUGAAAAUAGACAUAUAUGCAGGUCUACUUCAGAAUGAGAAACUGGAUAACACUGCAAGUUUGUUUGGUUUAUUUAUUUAUUUAUUAGAAAACAGUAUCAGUGCAUUAAUAAUGUUUCAAUUACACAAACAACCUCCGUCUUCCCCUGCAUAGCUGGUUGCUGUUAUCGCGAAUUCUCCCUGCGUGUGUGUUUACAAAGGUCAUCUACUCAAUACUUUAUAAAAAGAAACAUAUCUUUGUGUUCACAAAACACCCAAUUAGUUUGUCAAAUGCCAACAUUUCCUUACAGAAAAUGCCGCUGUUAGAACCACCUCUUCCGCCUAUUAACUGCUCUUCAUCUCUCCUUUUAAAGUAAAACUGGAGGCUAUCAUUUGGUUUCUGCCUGUUAGCGAAGACAUUUGUUACCACCUGUCUCAAGUAAUUGUAUGUUUUGAGUGGUUUCCUACGAUAAAUUACAGGCCACACAGAAUUGCAUGGGUAGAGUACACACUGCACACUGCACUCCUGGUUUAGGCAGCUUGUUGUGAAAUGCAAACCACAGUCUACCUAUAUUAAGCAUUCCAAAUGCAGUUGGGAUUGAAUGCAUGCGCACACUGUGUGGUAAUGUGCAUUCAGUGCUGGAUGCAAGUACCUUUUGGGGGCAAGGGGUGCACACACAACAUAAACCUGACGUCAUCCCUGCCCCCUCUCCAUAAUAUUCAUCCAAUCUUAACUGCAUUCUGCUGGAACAGUCAGAAUCCUUCUGUGCUGAGAAUAUACUUCUCCAGCACUUGCUGCACACAUGUGCACACAGAGAGUGCUUUCUCAGGUCACCUCCUAUUGGAGCAGACCUACUGACAUUGCAGGGCUGUGCCACACCUCCUACCAUCUCUGUAGCCCGAAUGUUGUUGUUUAGUCGUGUCCGACUCUUCAUGACCCCUGGACCAGAGCACACCAGGCACUCCUGUCUUCCACUGCCUCCCGCAGUUUGGUCAAACUCAUGCUGGUAGCUUCGAGAACACUGUCCAACCAUCUCGUCCUCUGUCGUCCCCUUCUCCUUGUGCCCUCCAUCUUUCCCAACAUCAGGGUCUUUCCCAGGGAGUCUUCUCUUCUCAUGAGGUGGCCAAAGUACUGAAGCCUCAGCUUCACGAUCUGUCCUUCCAGUGAGCACUCAGGGCUGAUUUCCUUAAGAAUGGAUAGGUUUGAUCUUCUUGCAGUCCAUGGGACUCUCAAGAGUCUCCUCCAGCACCAUAAUUCAAAAGCAUCAAUUCUUCGGCGAUCAGCCUUCUUGCUACCCGGCAAAUUAUUCUUGAUCCAUAGCCACGUGUUUCUUUGGUUCUCGAUUAUAGAGGUGCAAUGGCACUUCUAUAGAAAUCCCCUCAUGAAUAACGAAUAUUAGAUCCCUGACGUAGCCAGAAUUUUUUUUUACUCUCAGUUUAAAAAUAUGACUGGGGGCUUCCAAGGAGACUCAUAUGAGCAUUGGAAGAGUGCAGGGUUCGGGCAGAUUAGCCCAAGUGAAAACCUCGUCUCAUUGGCAUGUCCUUUUAGGAAGGGUUAUUGCACCUGCUCUGCAUAUAAAAAGUCACUGGUUCAAUCCUCAGCAUCACCAGGUAGAACUGGGGAAAACUCCUGCCUGAACAUGCCUUAGCCCCAUUGGUAAAAAAGGUAAAGGACAACUAUAUAGUUAAAGCUAUGGUAUAGUUAAAGCUAUGGUUUUCCCAGUAGUGAUGUAUGGAAGUGAGAGCUGGACCAUAAAGAAGGCUGAUCGCCGAAGAAUUGAUGCUUUUGAAUUACAACAAAGGACAACUGGACGGUUAAGUCCAGUCAAAGGUGACUAUGGGGUGCAGAUGGGUCUGCCCCACCAGCCCCAGCUAACAUGGAUGAGGAACAUCUGAGAGGGUACACUGGCUACCUCUAUAGACAAUACUGAGCUAUAUGGACCAAUGUUCUGAUAGCAUAAGACAGCUUCCUGUGUCCCUAUGUUGUAUACACAUUGAGAAGCACUGCUAAAAAUGAACAAUACAUCUGGGCAAAGAGGUUGCUGUGCUAUAUGGAAAAGAUUUCCUGAAUUCUGUGGGUGCUCAAAUUCUGCUUUGAACUUUGAUUGCCCUUGUCAUAUCAUACACAGUACGUAUUUUUGCCCUUUGGCAAGGGGAAAAAAAGAAAGCUGGCUGCAGUUUGUCCACAUGACCUCCUGCUACAAUGAAAUUCCAGCACUCAGUGUGUAGCCGUAGUCUCUUGCAUUUCACUAUAUUGAACAGUUGUUAAUUUAAUCAAGCACCUUACUGUGGGACAAAGCGAAAGAAACAAACUGAUGAGUUUUCACUGUGCCCUCAGUAGGAAAAUAGUUGGACCACAACUGGCCAUGAUUUAAUUUAAAUCCCACUGCUGGAUUCAAUCAGUAAGAUUACAGAGGGUGUGUAGGUGGAUACAAAAAAAUUCACUCUGAUGUCAGUGUGAAAUAAUAUUCCAAAUGCAAGACCAUUGCUAUUAAAGCCAGAUUCACAUUGUAGAGCUGCACAAAAAGCAGCAGCUGAAAAUUGUUUUUCCUUUUCUCCCUUUCCUUUUUGGUAAUAAUAAUUAUUUGUAUUAAGUACCCAGCAGUCUGCAAAAGCUACAUCACUUAAAGGUCACUGGAAAGGUAUUCACUGCUCACAAGAGAUAUCGGGUAAUCUUAUGGUAUGUUUUGCAAAGUUUCACAAAUGAACUCUACUCAUCCCUUCCUGCCAAUAACCAAAGAGAUUAUUCAAAUACCAUAUUCUACAUAUGCAUAUAUGCAAAAAUGUGAAUGGUAUCUAUAGGAGGGAUAAUAGCUCUUCAAAAAACUGGGCUUGCGAGCUUUAGUUGGUAAAUUUAAUCAAUUAACAUUCUACUUGAAUAAUUAGUGGGGGAGCUAUUUUAAACACUGAGGGCAUAUUUAAAUUGGUUGGGCAAGAGAAAAGCAUACUUGUUUAUUUGUUUUGGUUCUUGGGUGUUACUCUAAUGGGGUAUGAAGAAGAAAAUGAGUCUAUUUGGAGCUGGCUAAAAGGCAAUUAAAUUCCAUCAGUUUUGGACUAGACUUGGGUCACCCACUGCCAAGAAGAUGCUGCUGCUCUGUAAAUAACACUUCAGCAUGGCCAUGCAAGCAGCCAUUGCCAACCCAGUCAGCAGCUGGCAGGAGUUGCAAUCCAAAACAUCUGAAGGGCACUAGCUUGGUGAAGGCUGUCUUAAAGGGAUUGGCAAGUCUUUUCAAAGAGCAUAUGGAACUGCCAGUUUGAGGGCAGGCUCCAACCUCAUGAUGAAACAACAAUAAUGUGCAAUGAUUUUGUUCCUCUUUAAGAUGGCAGUCGCUAAGAUCUUGUGGUUCUUGAAUCCUGACAGAGACUGGAGUUGUAUCCACCUACCCCUAAGGAGGCAGGUUGAAGACUCAAGAGGGUCUCUGUGAAAGCACUGGUGCUCUCAUACUUGAAAACCAAGGGGCAAUGUGUCUUCAAGUAUAAUUAAUAAAGCCAGUAUAGUAUAAUAAUUAUAAUUAGUACCUUCCAUGAAAGAACAGUCAACAUUUAUUGAUCCCCCAAAGCUAUUUAAGGUCCCUCAGUGACUAUAAUCAGCAAUUUACACUUGCAUUUGCUGUAUUUAUUUACUUGAGCUUAAAAAAGAAACCCAGACUAGUCCAUUUUCAGAUGUGCUGAUAAAUGUAAGUAAGGCAACCCAUCAAUGAUAAAUAUUACAGUUUCAUCUAGCUAUUGACAUAAUUAACUAAACAAUUCACACUCUGCUCACAAAGCAGUUAGCACUUUGUUAUUUAAUAUUCUAAUAUUUAUGAAUGCUGGGAGGCCAAACGACCUGUUAAGUACAUAUUAUCACUCUUAAAAUAAGUGACUUUUAAAGGAAACAAUGGAAACCAAGGUAGACAAUCAUGUUACGAUCAAGUCUAUGGCAGGCAAACCCUGGAUCUUAGGAAGAACUGCAGUAGCCAGGAAAGGAAUCAAUAUGGUGAUUGACAACUCCUACUACGCAAACCAGUAAUUUAACAUUGCCAGUGCCAACGUACGAGAUGCCAAAACAAAGGAGGCAAAUUUUCAUAUUAACUACAAAUGCUGUCCUGAUUCAUCUAUCGCAGCCUCUCCUUGUGCCUUUCCUGUCACAGCAUCAAGGACGGCAGACCUACAGAAUUUGAGGGCCAACCUACCAGUGACUUGAGAGUUUUAGGUCCAGGAUAAUUAAGGGAGUACCUAAUCCCUUGAGUUCUCACUUGAUUGCUGAGGUAUUUGGGGGUCCACCUUACUGAGAUGUUGUGGGUCCAAUUUUGUGCAACUCCCUUCUAGCUGAGGUCAGACACACACCCUCCCUGUUGAAUUUCAUGUGUCUGCUGAAGACCAUUUUUAUUCCAGCCGCCUUUUCAAUUGAAUUCUGAUUUUAUCAUUUUAAUUCUUUUUAAUUCUAUUAUAUUAUACCGAGUCUUCACCACUGAGAAAGGACUGUAAAUUAAGUAGUACAUAAAAUGUAAAUUAAGUAGUAUAUAAAUUGUCAAAUUUAACACACACACACAAUUAUCACUGUGCCACCCUACACCUGCCUUCUCAGAUGCAAGUCUCAUCAAGUUCCAAAGGCCUUACUCCCAGGUAAGUGGGUUUAGGAUUAGUCUUGGUCUCUUUCGUUCUCUGAACUAUUUCAUUACUUUGAAUUUAAUUUUAUAUUACAUAUUUCUUUCCCCUACCCACACCACAUAUAAAUCAUUCCUGACCAGCCUGAAAAACCCCUUAUGGUAUCCCUUCCUGUUGAUAAAAUGUGCUGCUAACUGCCAUUCUUUCUCUCUUGGAUUUUCUGCCUGGACAGUUAAUCAUUUCUGUCAAUGGAUGGAAGAAAGAUGAUAUCUCUGUCUUCCAAUAUUUCACACUUCUGGGAGAGACAUCUCUUCUUCAGUCUCUUAAUCACAAAACUGGAAUGCUGACAAGCGCCUGGCAUUUGAGACUGUAUUUCUGGGAACUCUUACUAUGGUAUUCAUUAACUGAUUCCUGUGAUGGUGAUUAUGGCAGUAGAAAAAUAACAAACAACAGAUAAGGUUAUUUGCACUGGGACAGUUGUCUUGCUCUUGUUUGUUUUUCCCCUCUGUUGUCUGAUUGGCUCUGAUUUUGCAGUUCCUGUGCAGCUUCAGUCUUAACCUUUAGAAUCGCUUGGUGUAAACCUAACAGUAGGAAUAGGAGAGGAUUUGGGAAAUAUCACGCUGAGAUGCAAGGCUUCCUGGAUUCCUAUCAAACUCCCCUCCUCUCAGGGGAAAGGUCUGCAGCUUAAGGCCAACUCCUAAUUAUAACAACAGAUUUGAAGUCAUCCCCAAUCACGUCAAGCUCUUUAGCAAAAACUAAAAGUCAUUGAUGGGAUUGUACCAUUGCACCCUUCAGCAUACUGUUAUUAACACAUAAGACUACAAUUUAUAUCAUGUCAAUGUAACAUUAAGUUUAAACAACUGGCCCAUAAGCAUCAUAAAUUCACAUAGGUCCUCAUUUAACUUUUAUUUCAGAACUCAUCUAAAUGUUGUUGUUUUUUCUUUCUGAUUUGGCUUUCUAUGUAGAUUGGCCAAGACACAAUGAGAACAAAUUCUCAUUCACAAUGAGAACAAAUUUCAGAACGAAUUCUGAAAAACAGCAGUUUUAACCCAUUUCAGAAGAGGCAGCAUAUCCUAUGUAGUUUAAAAAACGAGUUCAUUGUUGAGUGAGGUUUCAUAGCCAAUAAUCUUCAUCAUCGAAUGCUUGGUAUGGUUUAGGAAGACAGAGAUACACACACAUACUAGAGUGCAAAAAGCUCAAGUUUGAAAGGUAAGACCUAAGAUUUAAAAAAAGUGCAACUCAUUGAGAUAGGAGGAUGCGUCAUAUAUUCCAAGCACAUUGUGCACUUCCUGGUGCAUUAAAUGAUCGCUGUGGGUUAAACCACAGAGCCUAGGACUUGCUGAUCAGAAGGUUGGCGGUUCGAAUCCCCGCAACAGGGUGAGCUCCUGUUGCUCGGUCCCUGCUCCUGCUAACCUAGCAGUUCGAAAGCACACCAGUGCAAGUAGAUAAAUAGGUACCGCUCCAGCAGGAAGGUAAACGGCGUUUCCAUGUGCUGCUCUGGUUCACCAGAAGUGGCUUAGUCAUGCUGGCCACAUGACCCGGAAGCUGUAUGCUGGCUCCCUCAGCCAAUAAAGUGAGAUGAGCACCGCAACCCCAGAGUCGGCCACGACUGGACCUAAUGGUCAGGGGUCCCUUUACCUUUACUUUACUAAACCAUAGCUGUUAACAUCACCUAGAGCAGGGUUGAUUAGGCCACUGGUUCCAACUGGAUGCCAACAGGCCUUCUCUGCAGUGGCUCCCCGUCUGUGGAAUGCUCUCCCGAGGGAUGUUCACCUGGCACCUUCAUUAUACACCUUUAGGUGCCAGGCAAAAACCGAAGUACCACUGUAGCAUAUAUAUACAUAACAGUAUAUAUAUACAUAACAGUGUUUCCAGUAUAAGAUGAAAUAAUAAUAAUUAUAAUAAUUUAUUCUUUGUACCCCACCCAUCUGGCUGGGUUUCCCCAGCCACUCUGGGUGGCUUCCAACGAAGAUUAAAAAUACAUUAAAAUAACUUGUUUGGGUCACCAGGAAUCCUCAAAACAAAACCUUGCUUCUCCAAAAUAUUUGUUGCUGCUCCUACUGAAAUUGUUGAAGCAGAGGCAAAAAUUGGUGGGUCAAAUUCCAUGACCUGUGACACACAGCAGGUCAGGCUAGGUAAUUAUAAAUUGUUCCUUCCGGCAUUAUGUCAUUUGGAAUCUGGAAUAACUAAAAAAAGUGGGGGGGGCCCUCUCUCUCUCUUAAUCACACUGAUGUCAGCUGGUUCUCCACAAGUCCUGUUGUACAAUGCUGAAAAAACAGGCAUGAACUAGUUGAUAAUUUCGGGCUUCUUCCUCUUUCAUUCAGCAAACAAAAAUAAAAUGGCAUGUACCUACAAAAAGGUGCUUUACCUUAUGGAAAAUACAAAGAGCACUGCCUUAAGGAGGAGAAGCCUAUUAGUACUGUAGUCUUCUAUCAGUCAAUUAACAUGCAUUUAUAUUAUGUUCCCUGUGCACCAUUCGGAAUGGCUAUGUGUAAGCAAUACAUUUCAGAGUAGAAUUGUUCCCCAGCUGUAUAGUUACUCUGAAAUUCUUUGUGCAGCAACUAAAUAGCUGCUGAGUGCCAUUGUGCAUAUUUGCAUGGUAUCUAGUGCAAUAGAAACACUACAAUUUUGGGUUGUAAAAAGUAAAAUAAAAUGAAUGAAAGUAUUUAUUCAAUUUUUUCUUUUAUUCUGAAGGCUUGACUCCUUUUGUUUGUUUGUUUUAAAAAAAUUCCUGGAGGGAAAGACCUAAACUGUUGUCAGGCAACUUAGAUAUUUAAUAACUGAGUAAAACAAACUGGAAGGGUAUUAUAAGUGAAGCCCGUAUGCGGCAAUGCAGAGUUAUGUCAUGACUUCAAAGGAAUGAACAGAAAUUGAAUUUUGAAUUACUUCUAAGCUCUUUUGCCAUUUUAAGUCCAAUACUGAUUGCUAGAUGAAGGGAUUAACUGUCCCUGUUCAUAUUUUUUUUUUCUUUUUUCAUUCUUGCUCUUCCUCUGACAAUAUUUUACAAAACAGUACACAGAGAAUUUCUUGAGGCAGAUCUCAGAAAGCAUUUCACCCCGUAUGAACCCCCUUCAAUAUUUAUUUAUUAUUUAAAAUUGAGAAAUAGCCCACGCAUAUAAAAUAUCAUGGUGGUGCACAGCAAUGCAUACGAAUGCAAUUAAACACAAAAUACAAUAAAAACAAUAAAAAUGACAAAAAUAAACUAUGUCUUAGCACAAUGAUGGGGAACCUGUGGGCUUCCAGAUGUUGAUGGACAUUCCCAACAGACCAAGGCAGCACUGCCAGUGAUCAGGGAUUAUAUACAUGUUAGUCUGUUAACAUCUGGAGGGCCACAGGUUUCCUGCCCCUGCUUUGGCAGAUUAACUUGUGGUGUUGAUGUUGAAGAGAUACUUGUUUAUUUAAAGGGUGGUAUAAAGAUGACCUUCCUUUGAAUGGUUGAUUUUGUUCCUUCACUUCCUUCACUAUCUCAGAAAGAUGCCAUUCUUGAUCUAGAUAAAUAUAAGGGUGAACAAUGGUUGAACCAGUCUUUGGCUGCUACAGGUUUGACAUUUCCCCUGAAGUUUAUGUCAUUGUUUUCACAUGGAAAUUUAAUUUGAAAACAGGUUCCUAGAGCCAUUGCUAUGGAAACAACAAAAAGGCCAAUAUCUGCUCUCAGUUGAUAAUUCCCAAAGAAUUCCAUAUAGGCCAGAACAGCUUUGGGGGGGGGGGAUGGCGAGGAGCAGAAUUUAGUUCUGCAAAUUAAAAUGAAAGCAAUAAUUUGCAAUGGUUGACAUAUUUAGCAUCAGUGCCAGAUUGUAGGCAGUCAUGCAUGAAGGGAGCUACAAUGCAAGUUUUGGCAGGGUUGAGACGAGGUGAUUGGAGGAAAGGGGCACUUUCCCAUCCCCAAGAAGGUCAAUCAGGAGAAAAAGUCAUGGGCAGGUCAGAGUCUGAGCCAAGAUUGUUCUUCAGAGAGGACUGGAGUCAGGAUGCAGCCAUACUUGGAGAAGGCUAGGAGGUCACAAGUAUGAGACCAUGCUGUCUCUUACCCAGCCCCAGGCCUGCCCAGAAGAUUUUUGUGGGUUGUCCAGUGUUCUGUCCAGAGGAUGGUGAGACUUGUGGGGGACACUUCUGCCCCUUGUUUGCAGCCUCAAAGUGGACAAUAACCACAAAGGCAUCAACAUAGAAAUAAGGAGGUUCUCUGUUCAGACAGCUGAUCCUUAUAGUUAAGUCUUACUAUAAGUUCUUACAGUUUGAUGAUGAUAGGAGUUUGAAAAGCAGAAUUUAUUAAUGUUUUAAAGGUGGAAGCCAUGUUAAAACUCCAUAAAAGAAAAUAUAGGGUUGUAUCCAAGUAACAGUGUAAGGAUUUCUGCUUCUGUGACAGAACGUCCCUCUUUUCUGUCCUUGUUGUUGUUUUCGUUUAGUUGUUUUGUCGUGUCCGACUCUUCGUGACCCCAUGGACCAGAGCACGCCAGGCACUCCUGUCUUCCACUGCCUCUCGCAGUUUGGUCAAACUCAUGCUGGUAGCUUUGAGAACACUGUCCAACCAUCUCGUCCUCUGCCGUCCCCUUCUCCUUGUGCCCUCCAUCUUUCCCAACAUCAGGGUCUUUUCCAGUGAGUCUUCUCUUCUCAUGAGGUGGCCAAAGUAUUGGAGCCUCAGCUUCACAAUCUGUCCUUCCAGUGAGCACUCAGGGCUGAUUUCCUUAAGAAUGGAGAGGUUUAUCUUCUUGCAGUCCAUGGGACUCUCAAGAGUCUCCUCCAGCACCAUAAUUCAAUUGUUCGGCGAUCAGCCUUCUUUAUGGUCCAGCUUUCACUUCCAUACAUCACUACUGGGAAAACCAUAGCUUUAACUAUAUGGACCUUCUGUCCUUGUGCAGCCCCUAAAUCUGUUCUAGGACUUCCCCGAUCCUCUGGAGCAAAUUUGGGGAGGGGGGAGGGCACACACAGGAGGAGGGUUGCACAAGUUCUGUUGCACAAGUCCACAGCAUUUUUAAAAACACAUUAAUUUGCUCAGCUAUGACUACUGAAUGUGUUUGGAAUAUGAAGAUCUGACAUGCCAAAAAUCUGAGGCUAUCACCCAAAUUGAUAUUCUGUAACUCAGGGAUGUCCAACAGGUCAAUCACAAUCUACUGGUAGAUCCCCGGGAGGUUUUAGUAGAUCACGGUUGAUCGCUGGGUCCCCUUCCUUAGUGGUGCUAAAAUUGAUUCCCGCCCCGCCCCCUCGCCCUGCCCUCCAUUGUUGCACGAUCUGCAGAAUGGAAGACGAAGUUUACUGAGUGAGGCUGUUUGUUUCCCCAGCGAUUUGUUGGUGAGUGGUUGUUCCUCUCCCCCCCAACCCCCCCUUAAAAUCGGGGCUUUCCUCCUCCCUAAAAGAAAUCAACAACUUUGACCUGAACCACCCCAAAAUGGGGGUAGAUCACUGCCAGUUUUUAAUUCUGUAAGUAGAUCACAGUCUCUUGGGAGUUGGCCACCCCUGUAGUGAUCUGGCUUUUAAUUGGUUGGUGGCAUUUAGGUAAACUGACAUAAUACAGAAACUUUCCCAUAGUUUCUCUUGUGGGAAAUUUGAAAUUAGGGCCAAGUUCCAUUUAGCGGGGUGAAUCACCUGUAAUUUAAAUUAAACAAACAAAAUGGUUUUUUAGACUAAUGGUGUAAUUCUAUAUACACACUUGGGAGUAAUUCUCAUUAAACUGAGUGGAACAGACUUUUGAAUAGGAUUGUACUGUAAUAUACCAGCACCAAAACAGCUUAAAAUAUUUGUGAUGUCAAUUAGUAUUUGCCAAGACAUCUUGACACUGAUGGAGGUGCUGUGUAAUUAAUAGCAGUAUAACAUGCAAAAAUUCAUCAGCGCCUACUGCCUUCAUCACUAAGGGCAGGAUUCAAGUAAUGAGUCACACCAGUAGAAGACCAUACAAAGUCUUCCACUUGCGGAAUGGGGUUUCCCCCCUCCACUUGUGCACCCCCAAAAAUUGGCUUUGAGGGGGAUCGGGAGAAUGCCUGAAACAGUGGAAGGGGAUAGGAAAACGGAAAUCUUUCCAUCUAGCAAGCUGAAAUUAUUGUCCUGAUGAAGCAGGACAUCUGAAGGUAGUCCUGUUCAGGAAAGAUUUUAGUGUUUGUUGUUUUUACAAUAUGACCCAGUCAGAUGGGUCCAGCAUUAUUAUUAUUAUUAUUAUUAUUAUUAUUAUUAUUAAUAGACACAGUAUGUAUCCCUUCCAGAAUGCAACAGCUAGACUGAUGACUGGGAGUGGCUGCCGAGACCACAUAACACCAGUUCUGAAAGAUCUACAUUGGGUCCCAGUACAUUUCCGAGCACAAUUCAAAGUGUUGAUGCCAACCUUUAAAGCCCUGAAGGAGCAUCUCCACCCCCAUCGUUCAACCCGGACACUGAGGUCCAGCUCCAAGGGCCUUCUGGUGGUUCCCUCACUGCAAGAAGUGAGGUUACAGGGAACCAGGCAGAGGGCCUUCUCGGUAGUGGCGCCCGCCUUGUGGAACGCCCUCCCAUGAGAUGUCAAAGAAAUAAACAAAGAAAUAAACAACUAUCUGACUUUUAAAAGACAUCUGAAGGCAGCCCUGUUUAGGGAAGUUUUUAAUGUUUGAUGUUGUCACUUUUUAAUUAAUGUUCUGUUGGGAACCACCCAGAGUGGCUGGGCAAACCCAGCCAGAUGGGCAGGGUAUAAAUUAUUAUUAUUAUUAUUAUUAUUAUUAUUACUACUACUACUACUACUACUUCCAGAAACUGUGCUCCUCCUGAAUGGCUGUUUGCGAAGCUACUAUUAACAGCAGAACUCAGGAAAAGAGUGACAACUCUAGGCUGCAAGCUCCAUUUCAAGAUAUAGACGGAUACAUAAAUACAUACAUUUAUUUAUGUUUCUUGGAGCCAAAAGAAUUGCUUGUAUGUUUCUCUGCCCUAUUAAUACCUAAUAAUAAGGCCUGAGAAGACUUGUGUGUGCAUGCAUUUAAUACGCUUGAAAUAAUAAUGGGUUUAUCUGUCUUAGAAAUAUAAUCUGUAGCACAGCAGGGUGAUAUAGUGUGGUUGAUAAAUUGAUUUGAUUAGAAAGUCACCUCAGAACUAAGGUGGAUUGUAAAGCAACAUUUAAUAACAUAUAUACCUCCCCCCAAUCGCUCAAUCUUACCUGGGAUAAAAGCCAUUAGGUAAUUUGGGUCCGGCAUGCAGUAGCAUCAGAAUUAGGCCAUAUGUCACAAGGGAAGCAUUGUUGAAAAGCCUGGAAAACUGACAACUGUAGGAAAUGGCCCUUCCUCCCUGAGUGUCUCUUUGAAUGCAAAGAAACCAUAGUAACAGCAGGGGAAGUGAAGGGAUGGCAGCUACAGAAUAAGCUUUCAGUCACCUGACAGCUUUAUAUCAACGAAGCUAUUGUUUUCUACCACACUGUACAAGGCCAUGAAGUCCCCCCCCCUUUUAUCUCUUACAGUAUUUGUUCAGUAGGUCUACAAAAAUUAUCCUCAUUUAUAGAUGCAUUUUAAAUCCAUGUUGCAGAUUGGGGGAUAUAGAUCGGGGUAGGCAACCUAAGGCCCAUGGGCCACAAGCGGCCCACGGGGGUCAUUUAACCAGCCCCCGAGCCACCCCCGAACCGAGCUGCCCGCUUGGCGAGUCCUCGCAGGCUGCGCUAAACUGGCAAAGCAUGGGGCGGGGACUCGCUUCCACAGCGCCGAAAAUCGCGUCUGCGCAGACGCAGAUGCCAGAAAUAGCGCACGUAAUCCGGCCCACGGAGGGAUCUCCGCUGGAGUGAACUGGCCCAGGCGAGGUAAACCUUGCCGCCCCCUGAUAUAGAUGAGUAAACCAGGAUAGAAAUUAACACCUUGGGCCUCCUUUCCUGAUGUGAACAGGCAAGUAAACAGAUUUUCACAAAGUUCUCAUGCCUUCAAUAGCUACACAUUCAAUAGCUACAAAUCAGAAAUUCAAAACGUAGAGCUGCACCUGUUGAAUUUUUAUUGCAUAGUUAUUGACAGUGUAAGAACCCUUCAAAAGAAGAAGACGGGUCUUCCCUCCAUUACAUUUGCAAGGGGUAGUGUUUUAUUUGCAACUUCUGAGGCCCAAAAUAAACAGUACAUCACUAAAAACCAUGUCAGGUUUGUUUGGGGGGAAACAUAAUAGCAGACGUGUGGUGGAUGGGUGUGAUUUUCAUCAGGAACAUUUGUGAGGAGGGGAGGCUUAACUCCCCAGCUAUGAUUCUGAUGAAAAUUCCCUACCUCAGUACUAUUAGCCUUAGAAAUCUCCCGCUUGUGCUAAUGGGAGCUCUCCACCAACACCAGACUAAUACUAGCUACUUUAAUUGGACUCACGGAUAAGGAGGGAGUGCUUAAAGUUUACCUUCCCACCCAAUACCUGUCACUGUUUUAAAAACGCAGCCUCUUACAUACUUUGUAAUUACCGGUAUGCAUGUCACAUCUACCGUAGGUCUAAAAGUAAGAAGUUAAAAAUCCACGCAGCUGGCUUGGCAGAGGAAAGACCUCUGAACUAGGGAGAGAACCAAGAGCGAGAUAAGCCAUUUCCAGGAUAUAUGUAAAAUAAUUUGUGUGGUAUGUCUAAAAUUUUUGUAUGUUAAAAUUAAUAAAAAAUAUUAUAAAAGAGAGAGAGAGAGAUAAGCCAUUUCCUGAUAUUGGUCUACUGGAGACCUUGAACCAUUUAGGCGCAUUACACAAUGGCAACCAAUCACACCUCCCAGUGGAUCCACCUUAUAUCACUCAUACAUUUGUUUCAUUCCCACUACUUUAUGUAUUUAUUUUGCAUACUUUUAGUCUGCAUUUCAACUUAAAAUGGAUUCCCAAAGCGGGUAACAAAAAAAUAAAAGCAACAACAAAACAGUAAGAACAAUCAUCAUGCUGCUUCUACGGUACAGUCCUGUAAGAACUAUAUUAAAACAUUGGAUCAAAAACCACCAAAAAUCCCUUCUUUUGCUCAACAAAGGGUAUUGAAAUGAAUGGGAGUUUUCUGGCAGACUCUUGGAGGAGCAUGGAAUAGUGCAAGCUUCCAUUCAUUUCAAUAUGGCUUGUGCAGAAGCAACUCUCAAUGGAUUUAUUUGAAGUUUGCACUAACGUGUAAAUUACAGGAUGCUAUUCCAAGCUGUGUUCUCUAUACCCUGAGUUUAAGAAUGUGAUGCGGGAAAACUCCCCCAGAGUUCAAAGAGGGUUCAUUCAUGCUUAUGUAUAGCGUCAGGCAAAGGGAAAUUGUUCAUGUGCCUGAUCGUUUUACAUGGGCAGAAAGGGAAACUAUUCAUCUGUCUGAUUUAACCAAGAACACACAAAGAGAACAGAUAUGAGAAACAGAAAGCAGUUAAACUGGUGCUUUUAUUGCAUAUGUCAAGAGGAAGAAGGACAUUUUACAGAAGGAUUUUAAUUUUUAACGUGACUUUCAUUUAGCUGAAUUCCUCAUAUGGCAGUCCACUUCGUCUUAUUUGUAAGCCCCAACAGUUCAGACUUAGCUCAUCGGGUGCAUGGCUUUGCAGGAAAUAAAACUACAGUAACGGAAUAUAUUAAAGUUGACACAGGGUUCAGGAGAAAGAAAUGUGGUAGAUAUUUUCCUGUUGGUUCCUCUUUUUUUAUUUGGGUCAUCUGACCUCAAAGGUCUCUAUAAUCUCAAGAUUGAGGCCUUGCUUACUAUGAACAGAAGCUGAAAUUUUGCACCUUAGGGAUCUUCCCACUAUGGAUGGGAAUUGGUAUGUGAUCAGUUUUGCUCCUGGCAAAUUAGCUGAUCCAGUUCCUUAUGAGCAGACCACAUUCCCUUGAAUACACACACAAAUGAAAGCAAUUUAAGCUUCCAGGUUGGCCCCAAAUGGAUGCAUCAGAGGGAAGGAUCCAGUUCAUGAGUAUUUAGCAGGACCACUAGUGAAAAUCACUGGGUCUCAUUAACUUAUGAUCAUAUUAUCAAGCCCCAUAGGUCUGUGAUCUAAAGCCCCAAUUUCUGUGUCAGCAAGAAAGAGCUUCAUGUUGCUUCACAGUAAAGCUGGCCCCAAUUAACUAGCAAAGGUGGAAGUGUACCAAUUUUGUAAUCUUGGACAUUUCAAAUGCUGUGGUAGUGUGCUGAUGAUGAAUUCUCUUGAGCUGGUUAUUUUGCUGAGAGUAAUCCAGCCCAGAAGUGGAAAGUUCACCCGAGGUCCCAUAAUCUCACCCUUUCAUAGGGGAUUCAUAAAUCGGCCAUGUACUCCAUUCUCAAGAACGGCACACUACACAUGUAUCAAGCAGUGAAGUGUCACAAACCACAAUGAAUGGCCAGAUAAGGCCAUGAUGGCUCUUCUGAGGGCUCCCUGAUUUUUCACAGGCAAUUUGUAGUUAAGUAUUCCAGGUAAAGUGUCAGCUUUAAUUCACAACACCUUUCAAAGCUGUGCUCACAGCAAGUGUUUACCUUGAGGUCAUAACUGAGGCCUCUGGCAGAGCAGUGGAAUAAUCAUACUGACAUGGCAGCUGCUGAAACCAAACCUGAGCACAUGGAUAAACAAGGGGAUACGAUCUAAGCCACCCUCUUGCACGCUAUGCAGUGAAUAAAUGCUAUCAUGCUGGGAGCUGGUGCACUAUCAGAGCUAAGCGUGCCAACCAACAGUGAGCUAAAGAUUCAGUUCAGCCAAGUAGCUACUAGAUAGCCCAAAGAUCCAAAUAGGUACGGUAAAGGAAAAGGACCCCUGGACAGUUAAGUCCAAUCAAAGACUACUAUGGGGUUGAGGCGCUCAUCUCACUUUCAGGCCAAGGGAGCCAGCGUUUGUCCACAGACAGAUUUCUGGGUUAUGUGGCUAGCAGGCCUAAACCUCUUCUGGCGCAACAGAACACCGUGACGGAAACCAGAGUGCACGGAAAUGCCGUUUACCUUCCCGCCGCAGCAGUAUCUGUUUAUCUACUUGCACUGGUUUGCUUUCGAACUGCUAGGUUGGCAGGAGCUAGGACAGAGCAACAGGAGCUCACCCCAUCAUGGGGAUUCAAACUGCCGACCUUCCGAUCAGCAAGCCCAAGAGGCUCAGUGGUUUCGACCACAGUGCCACCCGCGUCCCCAAAUAGACAAGAUGGCAGCACACCUUGGAUGUUACAGUAUGAGUCUUACUGAAAAGAUCAGAGUCUUACUGAAAAGAUCAGAAAACAGACAGAUCAGGAAAGGAAUGCCAUUUUUUUCUUUUUCCCAAACUUCCCCCCAUGAAACUACCUGCCCGCUAGGUCCAUUUCUCUCUGUGGGGAUUAUUUCUGCUCUUGGAUUGCAUCUGGGGAGGAAGCAGCUGGGGAGGUGGGGUUGAGAAAAGCACUGCCAGGGGUGGGAUUAAGAACCAGAAGAACAUCACAAGAGGUUACUGAAUCAGACCGGUGGCCCAACUAGACCAGCAUCCUGUUCUCACAGUGGCCAACCAGAUGCCUAUGGGAAGCCUUCAAGCACUUGCGGAAAAUACUAUAUGCCCAAGAAAUAGUGUUAUAUCAUGCACGUAAUGUGGCAUUUUCAGUCAUAUUCAUGCAACACACUGUUGACCUUGAAAGCCCAGCUGUCAAGUCCAACAUGGAGAAUCCCAUGGCUUCUUGUCCAACUCCUGCACACACAGCACAAGACAGAUACAGAUGGGGCCUAAACGGGAGUACAGUGGUACCUCGGGUUAAGAACUUAAUUCGUUCUGGAGGUCCGUUCUUAACCUGAAACUGUUCUUAACCUGAAGCACCACUUUAGCUAAUGGGGCCUCCUGCUGCCGCCACAGCUUGAUUUCUGUUCUCAUCCUGAAGCAGAGUCCUUAACCCGAGGUACUAUUUCUGGGUUAGCAGAGUCUGUAACCUGAAGCGUCUGUAACCCGAGGUACCACUGUACUUUCAUACACAUAUAAUGAAACUCAAAAGGCCACUUCUUAUUGUGGCAAUAUUGAUGGUUGAAUAGGGUUCUAUCUUAGUUUGAUUUCUCUCUGAUUCAUAGCUUUUUAGUAAAUCAGAAACUCUGAGUAACCAGUGCAAUAACAGCUUUUUUUUCAGAAGGGAAAGGAGAGAAAGAAAUCCUAGCCUAUUUGUAAGACUGAUGCCCAAAGGAAGUGAACAGCAUGAAAGUCACCAAGAAAAUUGCCACUAACUAAUUGGGCCCAGGGAGAAUUAGGGGCCUGACAUAUUUCACCAUAUUUCAUGGAAAAUAACCAAGAAGUGAAUGUCGCAUUAGAUGCUUGUGCAUUGAUUUAAUCAUAAUUGAACUCAGAAUGUUUCCCAGCUUCUCAAGAAUGCAAACAUAUUGUCGUAUCAUCUCAUUUUCUGCUUCCUGUGUCCAGGCACCCUCUGUGUCUAUAAGGCAGCCUUCUCCAGUCUGAAGAUCUCCAGAUGUUGACUGAAAUUCCCACCUGCCCCAGACAUCAUGGUUGCCUUGGAUGGGGCUGCUGGGAUUUGUCAUUCAAAACACCCGAAGAGUUCCAGGUUGCAGAAGGAUGGGCUCUGGUUUAGCCUUCACCACAUCUAAACGCAAAUUUUCUCAUAAAAACCCAAAACGAUUUCAACCGAGUUAGAGAGCAAACAGACUUUGGCAAUACUGAUAAACAACGAGCUGGAACAUUUUAUUUCUUGUUGCAGUGUGACAAUAACUCCUUUGUUUCACAGAGAACAGCAAGGAUCAGAUACAUGACUACAAUGCUUCUAAUCCCCACUGCCCACAUAUGGAGAUUAGAGGUGCUCCAGGAAUUUGAUCUUUGUGGAUUCUGAUACAAACUGACCUGAACUGUACUUCUUGCCUAAUUAGAGUGGAACUCGGUUAUCCACUGGCUUUUGCACUCCCCAAUGUUCUGGUGCAGUUUUCUUUUUGCUCAGAUCAAAUAGGUUGUAAAAUGUGAAUUCUGAGAGAAAAUAAAUUUUCGGCAAG
rnacentral:lncRNA from 1 species